rnacentral:rRNA from 1 species
UACGGAGGGUGCUAGCGUUGUUCGGAAUCACUGGGCGUAAAGGGCGUGUAGGCGGCCUGUUAAGUCUGAUGUGAAAUCCCCUCGCUCAACGAGGGAACUGCGUCGGAUACUGGCAGACUCGAGUACCGGAGAGGAAGGUGGAAUUCCUGGUGUAGCGGUGAAAUGCGCAGAUAUCAGGAGGAACACCAAUGGCGAAGGCAGCACUCUGGGACGUGACUGACGCUGAGACGCGAAAGCGUGGGGAGCAAACAGG